rnacentral:tRNA from 1 species
GCUUUCGUGGUGUAGUUGUCAGCACACUCGGAGCGUAUUCGAGAAGGCCCUGGUUCGAGUCCCGGCGAGGGCA